GCUCAGCCCCAGCCGCGGGCAGCCCCGGGCGGCGCAGGAAGCCCCGCCGGCCCUGCACCGCUCCCGCGCCGCGGCUCCGGCGGUGAUAAAGUGCAGCAUAAGGCUCAGGAGAAGAAGCAAGUGACUAAACAGAAUUAUCUCAGGAGGAGAGCAGCCUUCAAAGUCAGCACAGCCUUCUCAAAUCUGUUAUGUGAUAGUUAAAUCACCAUACUGAUGUGGGCGGCAGAAGAACCAGAAUAGAAUAAAGAAAUAUUAAACCAGCACAUUGCCUGUCCUAGUGAAGGGACACACAAGAAAAUGUUAUGGUGGGAAAGUCUUGUGAAAGAGGAAGCCAAGAUAUGAAAGACAAUUUUUCUAGUUUACUUUGGACUGUCUUACAAAUAUCUGCUCCUGUGUUUAUACUCUGCAGACCCAACUGCAUAAUUUCACAUGGCGCAGGAUCACAUUAGAAGGCAACAACAGCAGAAUGAAGCCAAUACUGAUGCUGUGGCAAGUCAACCAUGGGACAAGGUUCACACAUUCAAAACUAUUGCUUCAUCACUCAUAGUCAACUGAAUACUGCAGCACUGGCAUUCACAGACUUAUGCUGAUGCUCUAAUUGGUUGCUCAGCUUUAAUUAUAGGCAGACGUGGCAGGAACAUGAAUGAAGUCCUCAUUGCAGAGGUGCUUGGAGAGCGAGUGUUCCAGCAGCAACAACCAGCAAGUGACUGCUUCCACCAGGAGAAUCCUACCUUCCCAAAGACACUGAAGCCAAGGAGCCAGUAGGAUCCUGGCAACGAGAUGGGCACAGAGAAACACAGGCUUCUCCUCCACACAACUCACUCCUUGUGGACAGUCAAGCAUCACUCUGGGAAGAAGGUGUUGAUGAGGAAGCCCAAACCUGAAGCUCCAGAGCCAAACCACUACCUUGGUGUCACCACUUGGUACGAGCUGCCAUGUACUGGCUUGCACAACAGCUUCCUCACUUUGUAUGCAUGGCUUUUACCAUCUCCCUCUUCAGACUAAAGAGCCACCAUAUCAUUUAAUAUUUACUACAGCUUCUGACAGUCUGGAUCCUGGCAAAACUGAGCACAAGUCCUCUGAAAAAGUAGAACUCUACCCAGUGGGAAAAUUUUCUGGCCACCUCUGUGGCAUCCUGCAGACUCUGCUGGAGGGAUAGGGAGAUCCACAGCAUCACAGGGCAGCUUGUCACAUCAGUGUGGGUUCAGGUAAUGCCUGAAGAAACUCUAUGAAGAUAUUAUCUGGGAAUGUAUUUUGUAGAGGUAUACUGUAAUACACACGUGCACCACAUUUAGUAAACAAUGUGAUGGGAUUUCUUUGACAGAUGUACAGCACUUAAAUAAAAACAAGUUCCUACCACCAUAGGGUGGCCUGUCUCACCUCAGGCACGUGAAUUACUGUCAAUCUUGAGCAGGGAUUGUUAUUGCCAGCGCUGCAUUUCUAAAACAAAUUUUCAAGAACACAUAGUCAUCAUAAUGUCCAGGCUCACAGUUCAUACAGUCACAGAACCAUUGAAGUCCGAAGGGAUCUUAGGAGCCACUCAAGCUGCCUCCUCUAAGGUUACUUAUUGCAUCUUCAAGUUAUAUCCUUUCCAGUUUUUCUCCUUUUUUUUUUUUUUUUCUUUUAAUUACUUAAAAAUACUUUCAUUCUGUGCAAGAGGAAAUACCUUUUUGCCCCUGAUUUGUUGAGGUCGGUUCAAUAGACCUGACAAGUGUCAACCAGUCAGGAGGAAAUUCCAGCAGGAGUUACAUAAAACCCUGAAAACAGGCAUGUUUAGAGAGGGAAUUCUGAUGCUGAGCCAUGGUUGUGUCAGUACAGGUAUUGCUAGACUUAAAAGAGACAGCACUACAUUAGUAACCCUCAUCUGAAUGACCCCAGGUCAGUCCUGGUUGUCUGAGAUGUACAUGUAAAUAUUGUCACAUCAAAGAAAAGGGAGAAAUUAUUACACCUACAUCCUCCACCUUAAUUUUUAAACCAGUUCAUCCAUUGGUGCUGUCUCUAAUCAAAAUUCUACUUCCCAAAAAAAAGUCUGCACUAGAUAUAUUAUGGCAGGCAGAGCAAUCCCUUCCUCCUGUUGUGCAGCAACAGAUCAUUCAAGACAGGAGCCUGGGCUGUGCUGAAGGCAGAUAAAAUUACAGUCAGUUCCCAAAAUAAAUGUCAAAAAAGCAGGCUCCUUUUCUCUCCACAUCAUGGAAGCCAUAUUGUUAGACAGCUCUUUCCUCACCUUCCCAGGCUUAAGAAGGAGACCUUGCCUUCAGAACCCUUUCUUAUUCCUCUCCACAUUACCUGGUCCUCCAAACAAGCUGCAUUUGUCUCAGAAAUGUAACCUUUGUGGGGAAGGGGAGUUUUCACAAUGUGAUAUCAGAAUUUGCAUGGAAGUCUAGGACAAAAUUGGUGUAUGAUUGCUUCUUUUCUUCCAGACAUGCAUGCUGAGGAGAAACUCAGCUCUACAUGAGUAAGCAGAUUUUACACCCUCAGUAUAUGAGCAUGGAGCUGGUGCAAUAGAGAUUCCCAUGUUCAGCAGAUGGCAAAAAAGCCCCAUGCAGUGACCCACAGUGGCAAUAAACAGAGAAGCUCUGAUCCUUCAUUGCUCACAAGUUGUGAGCAAUAUCCUCAGACCUUACAAAACCAUCCCCUCUGCCCACCAGAGUACGGCAGCAGGGCUCCAGGAACCAGAGUUCUGAAGCCUUUCCUGGGAAAUGGGCACACCAAAGUCUCCAGGGGUGUUAGGCAGAAGCCAGAGGCUCAGUAGUGCUGAGCACCUCCAGGGUUAAGCACCACAGGGGUGAUGGAAACCUGGACCUUCCACUGUGGUCUCCUGAGUUAGAAUACCAUGUCCACAGUCUUCCAGGUGACAAAAAAUAGGUACGGAUAUGGCUGGCCAGAGAGCAGGACUUUUCUGCUUUGCAUGACAGCCAAGCCUUUCUCUAUCACCACUUGGUGUGAGGACAGAGCUGGGAGCAAGUUCCAGACUCCUGGUCUCAAGGACACAGACCCUUCAGAUGAUGCAAACUUGACUUCAGCAGCAGUUUGUUGCCAGGGGAACUGUCCACUUCCUAAUGUGUUACAAAAAAAUAAAAAUCUCUCUCUCCCGCUGUCUUUUUCAGUGUGUUUAGAGAGUGUCAAUCCUGAGGCUAGCAGCCCCCAGGCUUCCUCUUCCAGCUCCCUCCAAAGUGCCAGUAACGAAGCAAUCAGGACAGUUCAGCAAUCAGUGUCUUGAUAUAAUCCUUCCUCUUUGUCAGUCAGUAGGAAAUAAAUUACUCACUGGAGCCUGCUACAAAGAUACCACCCAGGCACAGAUAACAUCCCUAAAAAGGGAUGUGGAAGACAAAGACUAAUCAAGGAUUCUGCAGCUGCCAGAGGAAGGUAUUUUCUAUAGCAAAGAAAAUACCUCAUUUUUCUGAGUAUUCCCCAUGUGAUUUUACCUUCAUGCAAAUUGUAAGCAUAGAGACUGGAGCCCAAGAGAUCUCUAGAGGUUCUGUGAAUUUUCAACAUCAUUAAGCCUAAGGUUAAAUGAAAUUGGAAGCAAAAUAUAAGCCUUCUGAUGUCCAAUAUCUUACCUAACAGCUACAUGAGGUGAAGGAGAGGUAUAAGUGGCAAGGAGAAAGGCCAUAAAAAAUUUCAUCUUUUGACACAACCUGAAUGGCAAAGCUGGAAUGAAAAUUACAAGACUGAACCAGCAGUCACAGCAGCUCUUCUUGAUAAAAUGGGUGUAGCUUAGAAAAAGUUUCUAUGCUCUAAAUAUUUUCGUAAGUAUUUGGCUGAAUAAUGAACACACUGCAAUACUACUUUUAACUUCACCACCUCGUAGAAGAGGAUGAAGCCCCAGCUGAUUCUGGACCUAACUACUCAGAGUACCCACAUCAGUGUUUGGGAAAAUACAGAUUUUUUUGUUGUUAUUGUGAUGUUUGAGGACAAGCUUUACCAAUUUCUUUCUAUUAGAGGUACCUAUUUGAUAUGUGCAUAGUCCCAUAUGAAUUCUGGUUUGGUAAUUUAAGAAAUCUAUUAGCAAACUGCUCUGUUCAAAGCUGCCUAUUGAUGAACAUUUAGGUAGUACACAUUGAUUUCAAAAAGGUAAUAAAUGUAUUUUUACUCCAACAUUUAGCUGCUUAACUCUGCAAUUUAUCUCAUCACUCCUCUAAAAAAGUUGAUGAGACUGACAGCUCAUUUUUAUCAUCUUCCUCAUGAUGGUAGAAUUAGAAUUCAUCACCUUGAGAAGACACGAGGAUAUUCAAGUUGUGGGGAUUUUAUGUUUAAGGUUAUAAUUUUUCUUUGAAGCACCAUGUCCAAAGACUUCAAAAAGAAUUUUCCUCUGCAGCAAGGAAGGGAUGAAGGAACAGUGGGGAAAAAAAAUAGCUGUAACCUUGCAAGACAGGUUGGUUGAUCUCACAGUAUAAAGAAUACCUUGGAAGCUGUACGUGAAUUUAUCUUAGUGUUUACUGGAGCCAAACUCUGUGCAACCAAAGAUUUAGUAACUGCAUUUGCAAAUGACUGCUGAGUUGCAAUCCAGACCGUAUUUCUUCAUCAUACUUUUGCUGUCAUACCUUUUUUCAUGCCAUGUGUUAAAGGAAAACCAA